GACAUAGGUGGCGAACGUUAUCCGGAAUUAUUGGGCGUAAAGAGCUCGUAGGCGGCCUGUCGCGUCCGCUGUGAAAUCCCGGGGCUUAACCCCGGGCCUGCAGUGGAUACGGGCAGGCUGGAGGCAGGCAGGGGAGAACGGAAUUCCCGGUGUAGCGGUGAAAUGCGCAGAUAUCAGGAGGAACACCGGUGGCGAAGGCGGUUCUCUGGGCCUGUACUGACGCUGGAGGAGCGAAAGCGUGGGGAGCGAACAGG
rnacentral:rRNA from 1 species